rnacentral:miRNA from 1 species
UUGGCCAAAAAGUUCGUUUGGGUUUUCCCAUAAGAUGUUACAGAAAAGCCUGAAUGAACUUUCUGGCCAA